UACAGAGGGUGCAAGCGUUAAUCGGAAUACUGGGCGUAAGCGUGCGCAGGCGGUGAUGUAAGACCGAUGUGAAAUCCCCGGGCUUAACCUGGGAACUGCAUUGGUGACUGCAUUGCUGGAGUAUGGCAGAGGGGGGUGGAAUUCCACGUGUAGCAGUGAAAUGCGUAGAGAUGUGGAGGAACACCGAUGGCGAAGGCAGCCCCCUGGGCCAAUACUGACGCUCAUGCACGAAAGCGUGGGGAGCAAACAGG
rnacentral:rRNA from 1 species